ACAUGAGCAGGUGAAAGUGUGGGAGCGGUGCUAGGGUUCCGAGAGGUCGUGGCAUUGCAGGGGAGGAUGCAGAGGACGGGGGUAAAGGUGAAGACGAUGACGAUGGGAGGCGGAUGGCAAUCUUCUUUGUGUGGGGACUGUCGGGGUUUGUUGUGCUCUGGCGUGCGUGGCCCCUUUUCUCCUUUCCAUUCAUGUUCACGGCUGCCUGUUUGGUUUAAUGUGAAGUUCGUUCUGCUUCUGGGGAGAGAGGCGAUAGUGAUGGUUAUGCGAUUGGGGAUGGCGGUGGAGUUUGUUAUGAGCCUCGUGGCUCUACCCUGCACUUGUUCCUCGCUGGUGAUGCAUUCAGCCUUCGGUCUUUCUCUGUGGUUGUUGGUUCGGUGUGUGGCUUGGGAGGUUGGUGUUGUGGCGAGGUUAUCAUGUGGGUUUGGUGGGAGAGUGAGGUGGCUAAUCUUGGCUCUUGGUCUAAGGUUUUCGCGGGUGAUGGUGUUGAUGUUGCGGUGGAUCUUCUCUCUUUUAGAGCGAUGGUGGUUUCGUUGGGGUCCUAGCAUUUGGAUCUGUUGGUGGGUGUGGAUUGGGUGCUUCCUAUGACUUCUUCUCCAUCCUUUCUCCAUCCUUUUGCUUGUUCUAAAGAGGUGAAUAUGGAUUAUGUUGGAGAUAACCUUUCUCCUAUUGAGGUGGAGUUUGGCUCUGCGGUGGAGGUUGGGUUAUGUCGGUGGGUGACUGUUGGUACCCUGUUUCUGGUCUUUUGGGGAACAGAGGGUGGUCUUUUAUUUUGCUUCUCUCCUUUAUCAACUAUUGAGGUGGUGAUCUUGGAGGGAAUUAUAUGUUCUGCUCUAUUUUAUCUCAAGACUAAGGUUAUGGGAACCUAUCAAAAACCCAUUGCUAUUGGUUGUGGGAUCCAUGUAAAACCCACGCUUAAGGAUAGACAUGUCUGGAUUCAUUGUUGAGGGGUUGUUGAAGCCAUGUUGUUUAGUUUCCAGGAAGUUGGUGAAGUGAUUUUUGUUAUAUGCAUGUUGUUUCCAACAGAGAUAAAUCUCAAGGAUAUGAUUGUGGGAGCUUGGAUAAAACCCAUGAUUUUGCUGAGGAAGCCUUGUCCCCUAUGUUCAUGUUUAUGUAAAAUCUUUUGGGGUGCCUUUUGCCUUCUUUUCACCACCAGUUCUGUAAUGUUUGACCUGUCUUGUUUGGUUGUGGCUGGACUGCUUUAUCUCUUUGAUGUAUCUUUUUGCAGCGUUCCUUUGUUGGUUCCGAAUCCGUGAAAAAUCCGAGGGUUUCAGGUCCCUUCAAAACUUGUUGUACGAGGUUUUUGGUCCCCUCAAAACCUGUUUUCCCCCUUCAAUCAAAACAAAACAAAGCUCUUGGAUUUAA